AUACGGAAGGGGGGUUAGCGUUGUUCGGAAUUACUGGGCGUAAAGCGCACGUAGGCGGAUCAGAAAGUUGGGGGUGAAAUCCCGGGGCUCAACCCCGGAACUGCCUCCAAAACUCCUGGUCUUGAGUUCGAGAGAAGGUGAGUGGAAUUCCGAGUGUAGAGGUGAAAUUUCGUAGAUAUUCGGAGGAAACACCAAGUGGCAGAAGGCGGCUACACUGGCUCGAUACUGACGCUGAGGUGCGAAAGUGUGGGGAGCAAACAGGAUUAGAUACCCCCGUAGUCC
rnacentral:rRNA from 1 species